rnacentral:tRNA from 1 species
AGUCUUAUAUUCAAUAAUGAUAUAAAAUUGCAAAUUUUAUGGUGUAAAUAGAAAAUAAUACUAAGGCUU